rfam:Schistosoma margrebowiei strain Zambia genome assembly, scaffold: SMRZ_scaffold0000630
AUCUGGCUGAUGAGUCUCUAAUAGGACGAAACGUGUGUCAAACUAGAU